rnacentral:rRNA from 1 species
UACGUAGGGGCUAGCGUUGUCCGGAAUCAUUGGCGUAAAGCGCGUGUAGGCGGUCCGGUAAGUCGCUGUGAAGUCGAGGCUCAACCUCGAAUGCCGGUGGAUACUGUCGGGCUUGAGUACGGGAGAGGCGAGUGGAAUUCCUGGUGUAGCGGUGAAAUGCGCAGAUAUCAGGAGGAACACCUAUGGCGAAGGCAGCUCGCUGGGACGUUACUGACGCUGAGACGCGAAGCGUGGGGAGCAAACAGG